CAUGCGGAUUAAUUCGAUGCAACGCGAAGAACCUUACCAAGGCUUGACAUACACCGGAACGUCCAGAGAUGGGCGCCCCGCAAGGUCGGUGUACAGGUGGUGCAUGGUUGUCGUCAGCUCGUGUCGUGAGAUGUUGGGUUAGUCCCGCAACGAGCGCAACCCUUGUCCUGUGUUGCCAGCGGGUUAUGCCGGGGACUCAUGGGAGACUGCCGGGGUCAACUCGGAGGAAGGUGGGGAUGACGUCAAAUCAUCAUGCCCCUUAUGUCUUGGGCUUCACGCAUGCUACAAUGGCCGGUACAAAGGGCGGCGAUGCCGUAAGGUGGAGCGAAUCCCAAAAAGCCGGUCUCAGUUCGGAUUGGGGUCUGCAACUCGACCCCAUGAAGUCGGAGUCGCUAGUAAUCGCAGAUCAGCAACGCUGCGGUGAAUACGUUCUCGGGCCUUGUACACACCGCCCGUCACGUCACGAAAGUCGGUAACACCCGAAGCCGGUGGCCCAACCCUUGUGGGGGGAGCCGUCGAAGGUGGGACUGGCGAUUGGGACGAAGUCGUAACAAGGUAGCCGUACCGGAAGGUGCGGCUGGAUCACCUCCUUUCUAAGGAGC
rnacentral:rRNA from 1 species